rnacentral:rRNA from 1 species
UAGGGAAUCUUCCGCAAUGGACGCAAGUCUGACGGAGCAACGCCGCGUGAGUGAAGAAGGAUUUCGGUUCGUAAAACUCUGUUGUUAGAGAAGAACAGCGCAUAGAGUAACUGUUAUGCGUGUGACGGUAUCUAACCAGAAAGUCACGGCUAACUACGUGCCAGCAGCCGCGGUAAUACGUAGGUGGCAAGCGUUGUCCGGAUUUAUUGGGCGUAAAGCGAGCGCAGGCGGUUAGAUAAGUCUGAAGUUAAAGGCAGUGGCUCAACCAUUGUAGGCUUUGGAAACUGUUUAACUUGAGUGCAGAAGGGGAGAGUGGAAUUCCAUGUGUAGCGGUGAAAUGCGUAGAUAUAUGGAGGAACACCGGUGGCGAAAGCGGCUCUCUGGUCUGUAACUGACGCUGAGGCUCGAAAGCGUGGGGAGCGAACAGG